rnacentral:lncRNA from 1 species
UCAAAUCAAAUAAGAAAUAAAUUAGCAACCGCAGCACAGACAGUGUAAACAUGAUAAACAUGGAACAUGAUUAUUAAACAUCAAAAAGGUAACGGCAAAGCAAGCAUAAACUCAGCUCUUCUUGAUUUGCAUUAAAACCAGAUGACAGCACCAUAACAAAAAUUUCAGAUGUCCAAAUUGCUCAUAUCCUCUUUGGCUUUUCUAGUAAAAUGUUCUAGUCUCCUAGCAAGCCCCAGAUGCAAGCAUAAUUUUAAGCCCAGGUCCAAAGUACUGAAACGUAUUACAUCUAGUGUGACUUGACAUACUCCUGCACUAUGUUAAGGCCCUCAGAUUC